UUCACAUUCAAUAACCUCUCAAUUGAUAAACACUGUUAUUGGCAAGUGACUCAGAGACCAAUACCCAUAUAUAAAAUAGAAAAGGCUGAAACAUAACACAAAACUAAUAGUAUUAUGCAUAAUAGUAGGGUCAAUUGAAAGCAUAUAAUCAUAAUAGAGUAACAUGUGUUCAUGUGCAUGAACAUGAAUCGAUACACUGAUUGUGGGCGUUUCAUUUUCUUUUCUUUUCUUUAUGCUUAGACUUCUUUAUAUAUACAUUUAGCCUUUACUUUGGUUUGGAGCAGUGAGUGAAAAUUAGAGAAGAGCAAAUCAAAGGAGAAAGCAGAAGAAGAAAAAAUGAAGGGGAAGCUGAGUUUCUCAAAGAGAUUCAUCUCUCCUAUGAGAUUGUUGGAUAGAUGUAAACAAGUUUUGGUGAGACUUUUAUUCUCUUCUUCCACUCACAAAACUGUCACAAAUCAGUCAUCUUCUUCCACUGCCAUAAACUUCUAUAAUCCAUAUUAUUGCCCAGAUUCUCAUUAUAAUGAAGCCAUUUCAGACUGUAUAGAAUUCUUCAAGCAGUCUUCAUCCACUGAUGACAAAAUAUGCUGCAAUGUUUGAUAUUUUCUGCUACAGUAAUGGAGUCUGCAUAUUCAGCUCAACACAAAUGUAAAGAGAUGAGAGUGUUGCUUUCAUUAACUGAUACAGAAACAUGAGUCUUAGGCUGAAUCUGUUUGGCUAAGAGCCAAAGACUGAGGGGUGUCCAUUAUGUCAAAUUUAUCUGCGACGCGAUCCUGAUCUCAUCCCCUAUGAUAUCAGAACCUUGCACUCAGCAAACUUAUAACUCCAUUUUCUCGUCCAAAUGUUCUACAUAACUUUUAUAUACUUUUAUAAAUGAAACUCCAUUUUCAUGGCCAAAAGGAUUGCCCCAUGAAACUCCAUUUUCAUGUCUGCAUUUGCUUUGGUUGAAAUAUAGUUUAUAAUCCAUAUA